rnacentral:rRNA from 1 species
AGCCCACGGGGCGCAGCAGUAGGGAAUAUUGCUCAAUGGGGGAAACCCUGAAGCAGCAACGCCGCGUGGAGGGUGAAGGUUUUCGGAUUGUAAACUCCUUUUGUUAGAGAAGAUAAUGACGGUAUCUAACGAAUAAGCACCGGCUAACUCCGUGCCAGCAGCCGCGGUAAUACGGAGGGUGCAAGCGUUACUCGGAAUCACUGGGCGUAAAGAGCGCGUAGGCGGGAUAGCAAGUCAGAUGUGAAAUCCUAUGGCUUAACCAUAGAACUGCAUUUGAAACUGUAUUUCUUGAGUGCUGGAGAGGC